rnacentral:rRNA from 1 species
UACGUAGGGUGCGAGCGUUAAUCGGAAUUACUGGGCGUAAAGCGUGCGCAGGCGGUUCGUUGUGUCGGCGGUGAAACCUCCGGGCUACCACUGGGAAUGGCCGUUGAAACUGGCGAACUGGAGUGUGGCAGAGGGGGGUGGAAUUCCGCGUGUAGCAGUGAAAUGCGUAGAGAUGCGGAGGAACACCGAUGGCGAAGGCAGCCCCCUGGGCUACACUGACGCUCAGGCACGAAAGCGUGGGGAGCAAACAGGAUUAGAACUACCGUAGUCAGAUCCAAGAUCCAGUCC